ACUGUGUGUAUACAUGUAUGUGUCUGUGCAUGUGUUUGUGUGUAUGUGCGUGCAUGCGUGCGUGUAUGUCUGUGCGUGUGAGUGUGUGUGCAUGUUUGCGUGCAUGCUUUUGUGUGUGUGUGAGUGUGUGUGUGUGUAUGUGUGCAUGCGUGCGUGUAUGUCUGUGCGUGUGUGUGUUUGUGUCUGUGAGUGAGUGUGUGCAUGCAUGCGUGUUUGUAUGUGGUGUGUGUUUGUGUGCGUGCAUCCGCUUGUGUGUGUGUGUUUGUGGAGUGGAGUGGAGCAGCAGAGGGACAAAGUCUGCCCCCUGCCUUCCAGCCAAGCCCCGGCAUUCUGGGAGAGGAGCUAUAAGCCACUGGAAAGAGCUUCAGUAAAGGAGGGAAGAGAGAAGAGGAGAGGAGGAGAGGAUACAAAGGAGUGAGAGAAGUCAGAAUGAACCCAGCGGAUAUGCAGUGAACCACAUCCAGUGGGAGGAGCCUAAACAAAUACACACAUAUCUGCAGAGCUGGGAGCUGGAGAUGAAUGGGAAGGUUGCAGGGAGAGCGGCCGGCGCCACCAGUAACGUCAAUGAUUCUAACUCCAACCAGACCAACAGGGGGUCCGACAUGGCCCCGGAAGCACAGCCGAACGCAAGG
ensembl:lncRNA